rfam:Cajanus cajan Scaffold132771_18, whole genome shotgun sequence.
UGGCGUGGAUGAUGAGAAAUAAAAAUUUUACAGUUAUCCCUGUCUGAUAUAUCAGGUGCUGAAAUUUUGUGAUCUGACACUCAC